UGUUGAUCCAAAAGAAGGCAAAAAACCUAGACCAAAGUGCUUCCAAUUUUGCAACAAACUAGGAAAAAAAAUUCCUUCUUGACACCAAAAUAGCAGUCCGAUGUCUCCUUGGAUCAAGCAGCUAUUACCCCACUAAUUAAAAAUUAUAUCCCUGUAUGUUAUGUUUUUGCAAGUAUUUAUCCAGGUGCAGUUUAAACCUCUUUAGUGACUCUGAC